AUUACUGUGGCUUAGUGGUUUGAGUAUUGGACUAUGACUCUGGAGACCAGGGUUCAAUUCCAAGUUCUGCCAUG